rnacentral:misc_RNA from 1 species
AAGGGCCACCUUUAUGCAUGACUGAAAGGAGGAGAGGACAAAAAGAGGAAGGAGGAGAGGCGGUAAGAUAGUACUAACAAGAUAUGUCAUAAAAAUGCAGAUCACAAGUUUUGCUCUGCCCAAUAAGCCAAAAAGAAUUUGACUUUCAUGUGAUUUGUUGUUAUAUUGCUUUUGAUUUGAUCUUGUAGUCUAGACACUGUUACAACUUGAAAUGACAGGUAAAUCCAGAUAAAAGUUUUAUGAAAUCUUAAUCAGCUCAUGGGAGAGUCUUUAAUGUCACUGGUUUUGAUUUUGACUUGAUACCAAACAAUACAUGAAAAAUAUAAAUGUAGAUAUUGGGAAGCUCUGAGCAUCAUUCUAAUUCUCUACGGAUAUUUUUUUUUACUAAUAGAAGGGUGCCUCACAUUGUGAUAAGGAAAACCUUAUUUCCCUUGCAGGAAUUGAUCGGAUUCUAUGCCCCAACUUAAGAGGGAGUGUCAUGGAAAGUCAAUAUAUUUUAUAUAUUCCUAUUUAGUGCAGGAUUUGUAUUCCUAAAUAGGUAGGGUAAUUUGUGUAUAAAUAUGUACUUUUAUUUUAUGAAUCAAGAAUCAGUUUUUCAACCCUCAUUUACAUCCCCCAAGUGUUUACUCUUCACACACUUCUCAUUUCAUUUUAUUUUUCCAUUUAAGAUGUUCUUCUGAAUUUCAUAAUCUACUACUAAAUUAUCACUGAAACUCCAUGAUAUUGCAUAUUAAUAUUAUCCUGGCAAGAAAAGAUAGAGACCAGAAGGCAAAUUUCAAAUGAAAUCACCAAAAUCACAUGUCCUAAUCAAGUACCUAACAUUCAGUUAGUUAUUGUGCAACCGGAAGCAAAGCGACAACCAAAUCACGAGAAGAAAGAACAUAUAGGCAAGCUGAUCAGAAUUUAGAUACCUAAUACUAGAACAUCUAACCUGUCUAUUCCUCACUUGAUGCGG